CUGAGCCCCGCCCCCCCAGGCACCCCAGAGUGAUGUAGAAUUGUUGAAGAACGAUUGUUGAAGAAUUGUAGAAUGUAUAUUGUACACAUCAUUCUGAAGUUUUAAAUUCUCUUGAUGCAGUGCAAAUAUGGUAGAUGUGAAAAUUUCAAAGAGCGGAGUGGUGGAGUCAUGGAGUGUUCAUCAGGACUCUUGGCUGUGGGCAGUAGGUCACGUGCUAGCUGGUUUUAGCAGAAGGGAUCUGUUACAGGGCACUAGGUAGCUUAUUGAAUCUUAGGGAUUAUUUUAUUUGUUGACAGAUAGCAUUCAGAGCCAGAGGUUGUGAUCGCCUGUGGAUAAAGUAGGGCAAGAAACAGCAUUGGUGAGCGUGCCAGGGGAUUUGGAGAGGUAUGGAAGGACAAUGGGCAGAGGCAUCGAGCAGAGGAUGGGGGUGUGGGUGGUGUCCCAGCAGCCGAGAAAGAGAGGGGUUUGAGAAGAAAGGGGAGGUCCGCUGGGCCAGCAACUGAGAAGCCAAGUAAACGGAGACCUGAAGCCGCAGGACGGUCGGGCGGGGCUCCAGGGGGAGCACUCGGGGGCAGCAGCAGCCGUAGCUGACCGAGUGGUGGAAAGGUGUGUGACGGCACCCCCACACCUGCUCCCACGCCAUCUGGCCUCAGCGAUAACCCUGUGAGGUUGGCGGGCCAAGCGGGCAGGCAUUAGUUUUCACGUUUCAAAGGGGAGAAACCUGAGGCUCAGAAAUGUGAAAAGCCUUGAUCUGUGACCGAGCCAGGUCUUGUGGCUCUAAAUCCAGGGCUCUUGCAGGGCUACCGUGCUGCCUUCCCACCACAUCCCACCAUGGGCCGGGUGUGGCUUGGCUUUAAAAACCCACCGGGCAGUAAAUGGGUAAAACUCCUUAACUCUAAUUCGCUAGGCAGCAGUAAGUGGUGAUGCCUGAUAGCAUAGAUGAAAGAAUACUGAUGGUCUAAGCAUUCUUGUAAGAGUUUCCCUAAGCUCUUGAGUUUCUAGACAAACAUUUGUAUCCCUACUCUGAGCCCCAAUUACUGUAUUGAAUGCUGUAUAUAGAUUAUCUUACGCCUCGUAAACUUCAUGGAAGAGGUACUGAUAUUAGGUCAUUAUAAUGACAAGGAAAACAGGCUUGAUCAAUAAAAUAACUUUCCCUAAGUUACACUCUCAGAAAGUGGUAACGCUUGGAUGUAACCACGGGGGGCAUGGGGAUCCAGCACCUGACCUUCUUCUAGUCUACACUGUACUCGAUCCUAGCCCAAUAGAGCUAUCACUUGCUGUGUAACCCACAACUGAGUUAGAGACUUAGAUCUUCAGAUUCUCCAAACUGAAUUAUUUUGAUGCUUAAUCAUUCGUACCAGAAAGAAGAAAGACUAUGGUAAAAACUAGGUGAGUUAAGGAUAAUUGGCAAGCUUCAGUAAUUAAAAGUUUCAGAUAUUAGGCAGAGCUCCAAAUGGUGGACAAAAGCCCAUCAAAAUGCAUUUGCAGAUUCUUCUGCUUCUAGAGUUACCCCUUCCUCCAUUGCACCAAAAUAUUAUAGGACAUUUGAGGAUUUGUGGAAGGAUUCUGCCACUAAUUUCAAAAAGGUUGGAGUGCCUGUUGUAUGCAAGGCACCGUGCCAGUUGGGGGCUGGAGUAGAGUGGUGAGCAAAGUUGACCAGAUUUCUGCCCUCAGGAAUCUUUCAGUUCAGAUAAUAUUUUAUUAGAGAUAGAGUUGGUUCAAUGGUUACGGGGGUGAGGCUCGGAGGGACCUUGGUCUAUGGGUGUGGAAAGUCCUCUGGAGCCUCGUGGACUUUGGGGUCUUACAAGUCUUUCCUUGAGGGGCUGCUUGGCCUGCAUCUCAGAUUCUUGCAGCCCCAUGUUGCCCCUGACAGGAAUGUUCCACUCCAUCCCAUGUCUCCACAUCCUUUAGCCCUGCCAUUUAAUGAACUAACGUGAGCUUGCCCCGCCUGGCAGGGGAUUGGUUUUGGAACCAUGGUCCUGUGUACGAUAAUUAACAUUUGUACAUUGCCAUACAGUUUAUAGUGAGCCUUCUGUUUUCACAUUCAGGAUCUCAGUGGAUCCUUAGAACCACUCUGAUAGGGAGGGGAGAGCAGAUAUUAUGUUAUUAUGCCCAUUUUCAGAUUAGGGAACUAGAACAAAAACCAGGAUUAUACCCAUUUUACAAAUUAGGAUGUAGGGAAAAAAAAAAAAACAAAACAAGUUUCAUGCUUGGUAACUGGAGUGACCAAAAAUCUGUUCCAGUAACACUCGCUUAAUUCUUUAUGAAGAUUUUGAAGUAUAUAAUUUUUCAGGAAAGUAUGUUAAGGUAAUAAUUUUUUUGGCGACAAUGAAAAAAUGUGCUCCCAUAGAUGAUUUAUCAUACAUAGGACGUGCACAAGCCCAUGGAAAGAGAACUUGGUCUGUUUUUCUGACUGUAGGUGUUAUUUUCAUUCUUCACCCCCAUUCGCUCCGUAAGGUUCAGCAAGUUGCCUUUCAUCGCAUUGUCCCGUUGAAAAGUCUUCUGUUAAGUUACCAGGGACUCCUUAGUUGCUAUAUCCAAAGGGGAUUCAUUAACUUAUCUUGGAACAGCAUUUGACCCUGAUGGCCUCUCUGUCUGUCCCUUGCAAUAUUCUCUAGUUCUGCCUGCCCCUUGGAUUUUGUUCUUAAUCAGGACCUAUUGGUUCUCUUUGCUUCAACUGGCCACACAAUCUGACCAGGUCAUAUCUACCAGCUCCUCCCCCUUUCUUGAGCUCCAAAACCACCUGUCCAACUGCCUACUGGACAUUUCCACAUGGGUGAACUAUUAGCAUCAUAAUGCAUCCUGCAAACUGAGCCCAUGAUUUUCCCCUGCUGAGCCUGCUCCCUUUCUCAUAUUCUCGUAUCUUCCUUAAAUAUUCAUUUAGUUGCAAAAACCAGACAUGGAGGGUAACAUUUGUGACACUUUCCUUCCUUUCAAUUCUGGCAUCAAAUCGGUGGGUCCUAACAACCUCUUAAAUCUCUCUCCUAUCCCUGACUCUUCUCCAUCCCUCCUCUGGGGAGCCAAGCCACACGGGCAAUGCCUCUGUUUCCUGAUUAGCUCCCAUGUUCCUAGUCUUAAUGUCUUCUGGUCUUUCUUGUGUCCCUAGACAGACUUUUCUGAGUUUGGCUUAUGCUUGGCUUGCAAGGUUCCUUGUUUCCUGGCACAGUCCUGCUUGUUUAAUCUCACUCCCCUCCUCUUCCUUCACACUUUGUGUUCUGGUUAAAUCCAAAUCUGCAGUUCUCUAAAUUUCCUGUGCUUCCACAAAUUUAUGGCUGGUAUCUGCUCUUUUCUCUGUCUGGGGGAAGCUAGGGGAGGUCUCAGCCAGGGGAGCCUGCGUGGAGACUUGCAGGCUGUGCAGGAGGGUGCCUGAUUGGCCAAGUGGGAUCCUCGACUCCCAAUCUCAGGGAGUUUGUAUUUCAAUGGAGACAGACAUACACACAGGCGAGGUAUCUUGUGAUGCCUGCUGGAUGAGCACUUUGUACAAACUGCAGGAAGGCAGUGAAGGAGGUCUGUGAGUAUGACGACAUCUUUUCAACUCAACUUAGAAGAGCAAAAUGACGCCAGCUCAUUUGCAUUUACAGAAUUAACUAAACAACUCCUCCAAUGCACAGGGUGGAAUGUGGUACCUUGCGUGUAGCAAAAAAAUCUAAGUGGGACAAAGAAAUGGAUUAGGACACUGUGGAACAAACCUGAACACAAGGGAGAGAGUCUUUCUGAACUGCACUCUGAGACCCUCUUUAUUUUUCUACAUUAAAACAGACUUCACUUGCCUGCUCCUCUCUUUCCUGAAUGUUGGUGCUCCACAGACCUCCAAAUGGGGACUGUCACCUAUUUCUCUGUUCCGUAUCCUUGAGUACUUUCAUUCACUCCCACGGUUUCAGUUGUUCCCUCCCAGAUCCGUGUCUCUAGCUGGGAUCUGUCCCUGUCAUUGCCAGUGAAACAUCUCUGCUUGGAAAUUUCACAGUGAUCUCUAUUUCACCAUGUCCAAAGUAGACCUCACCACCUUCCCUAUUCUUUCCCCACCCCUCCUGCAGACCUCCAGCUCCUCUGUGCUUUUUUCUGUAAAUCCUGUCCGGUUGUCAAAUUCAGCCCCCCGAGAAUCAUCCUCGAUUCUUUAAUCCAACCUGUAACCAAACCUUUUCAACUCUGCCUCCUCAAGAUGACUAUUCCAGCUGUCUCUGCCUUUCUACCACCGAUGCAGGCUACAUCACCGCAGUCCUGCAUGACAAGGAGAGCAUCUAACGACAUCAACCUUCACUACCCCAGUCUGCCCACGUGUUCUCCGAUGGAUCCACGGUCAGAUAAUCUUUUGACAGUAUCCAGAAGUACAGAAGCUACAACAAACAAAUCUGUACAGUUGGGAGGAACAAUAGAGCAGGGACCCAGCAGAACCAUUCUGACCCCGCCGUGUGCCAACAGAGCCCAUGCAGGACAACAGUUGCACCGCCCUCCUCCUUCCGGCUCACUUCUCACACAGUAAUUCUCUUCCGGUCACUCCAAAACCAGACUACCGAGUAAGUACGUGGAUCAGCUCAAUCAGAGGAAAAGACGCUGUAGUUGGAUUGCAGGGAAAAAAAUUAGAUUUACAGGUUUUGAUGCUUCCAAUAUUUUACCUAUGUUACAAAAUAUAGAAAUCUUGCUGUGAAAAGCCCAUGCUAAGAGAAAUAUCACCAAUAAGAUGGAGCUAUAGUAAUAAAGUCAUAUUAAAUUAUGAUCCAUACACAGCUACUCUUAUCAAGGAGGAAUAUUUGUAAAAACCCAACUUACUCAUUCUUACUUUUAAAAAUAGUCUUGUUUAUAAAACAAAAACGAAAAAAAAGAUCAACAAUUAUUCUGCAGAUUCACUUUUCAUAAAUACAGAAGUGUGACAAAAAUACAAUUUGCCAUUAAUCGAUGAAGUCAGAAUGCUGGCCUGAAAAACAGGGAAAGUGCUCACUUUUUUACAUGGCCCAGAUUCAACCAGUGUUCCCAAAUCAUUUUAUGUAAAAUGACCACAUUCUGCAUAUUCUGGGCUAUUCACACACGAUAAUGGAAAGACUACAGCCAAUGCCAAAACAUACUCUGGGAUUCCACAACAUUGUUAUGGAAAGAAGAUGCGUGGAUGUAUCAGGCCAUCCUACCAUUGCUAUAAACGUAUACCAUACGACAGCAAGCUGCCAGUGUGCUUAACCGCAAAAACUAUCAGAAGCAGGGACACAGGUGGCCGGUGAACUUUCAUUGCAAAGCACUGAUAAGGACAGAGGUAUGUCAAAAUAAUACUGCAUUCAUGGUAAACGUUUUCAGGGAUCACAGCAAGAAGCGGGACAAAGUACACAGGGUCAUAAUCAAUGCACUGCAUUGAGUUCUAUUUGCUGAAAUAAAGUAACAUUCUCGCAGCUAAAAUAAAAAUACGUUUUACAAUAGAAGUCUCAUUUAACAUUUAACAUAGAAUUGUCUUCUUUUUGUAAGUGGAAAACGUAUAACUGUAUCAAGUACCUCUAUGAAUGAAACUCCCUUUUAUUACUGAUAAGACUGAAGCUUAAAGGUCUACGUUGUUGUUGCUUAAUAAGUUAAAGAAAGAUUUAUUAAUCACCCUUCCAGCAAAACAGAUGUACGUAGGAGGCACGGCAAAGACCCAAGACAAGGGCCUUGGUCACUCUCACCCCUGCUCUUCUCACGUGGACGAGGCGAGUGUCUAUGAGACACAGGAGCCGACUCGACAACCCGCUGCGGUCCAGGAAAUUCUGCCACUUGUUUGGAAAACAAAUCAAGCGUUGCUGGCGUUGCCUGCAGCCGGUGGACGUGAAUUACUUAGCGAAUCUGGUACAGACACAUCUUUAAAAUUAGAAAAUCAGUCCUUCUUCCUAAACAGAUGUGGCGACGGAGUAGGGAAUAUUGGUUAGAAGGGGCAGCCGAUUUCUAGCUGGCCCACAGUGCAUGCAGAUUUUAGUCUAGGCUUGUAUGGAAGUCUCCCCCCUCCCCCGUAGCUGCUUCCUACUGGUCUGUAUGCUCAUGAUCAGGGAAGCUGAUGGCAGAUUCCUGGCCUGCUGGCAGGCUUAGUGUUGGAGGAGCAAGGUUACUGUAGGAUGGGGCUGCCAUGAGUGUAGGAAUAGCCAGACCAUUAUCACGGGAUAGGGGAAAGGCUGGAAUGUGGCCAGACAGGAAAGCACUUGGACAUUAUUUCUGGUUCCCACAGGAUGAGGUCUGGAGCAGUAAUUAUUGUUGGAAUUGAAAAUCAUCAUUUCCACAUCCAGAUGAGAACAGCAAAGCCUUUCAGAAUAAAAUUCAAACUCCAGAGUUGGCUCGCUAUCUUCCUAGUAGAAUAAAAUUACAGUCUCUUGGAUUCUUCCUUUAAGGAAUUGAGGUUUUGGGAUGUUCAUAAUGGAACUAAAAGAGAAUAGGUUCUCGAAAGAAGGCAAAAUACGAUUAAACCCUGUUUAGGUUCUGCGCAGAAGGCCAUGCGUUUAUUUUUAUUCUCUUGGAGCUAAUGAGGUCGGCCACUUAGCAUCAUUUUAGGAAGGCCAACUCAGCUUGUAUGACUUUCAUGUUACAAAGCUAAGGAGGUAGGAAAGAGGAACAUUCUUCACUAUCAAAUUGCUCACAUCUUCCCAUUAAGUCAGGCACCAUGCCUGGCCAAACAAGAUGGUUAGCAAACCCUCCAUGAUAAAAGUACUAAAUUAUUGGCAUUAAAGAUUCAAAGGGGACAUAUCAGCAUUUUUCCUGAUAAUGAUACUUUGCCUUCCAAACUACAACAAUUAGAACUAAUUUCUUUCUAAAGAAAUAAUUUCUAGCUAAUUAAAGACCAGGCUGGCCUUCACAGUCUUAUCCAAAAAUUACUCAUACUCUAAUAAAUUACUCAAAACAGAAACCUUCUGAGCUAAAUGUUAUUACAUCUCUGAUCACCAUGCAUCUGAGCAACAAUAUUUAUAUGUUUUAUAAGGUAGAAAAAUAAAAACACCACCCAGUGUUUAUACAGUA